CUAUGCGCCUUGCCAGCCCGCUCAGGUGUGCCAGCAGCCGCGGUAAUACGGAGGAUGCGAGCGUUAUCCGGAUUUAUUGGGUUUAAAGGGUGCGUAGGUGGUUAAUUAAGUCAGCGGUGAAAGUUUGUGGCUCAACCAUAAAAUUGCCGUUGAAACUGGUUGACUUGAGUAUAUUUGAGGUAGGCGGAAUGCGUGGUGUAGCGGUGAAAUGCAUAGAUAUCACGCAGAACUCCGAUUGCGAAGGCAGCUUACUAAACUAUAACUGACACUGAAGCACGAAAGCGUGGGAUCAAACAGG
rnacentral:rRNA from 1 species